GAUGAACGCUGGCGGCGUGCCUAAUACAUGCAAGUCGAGCGAACAGACGAGGAGCUUGCUCCUCUGACGUUAGCGGCGGACGGGUGAGUAACACGUGGAUAACCUACCUAUAAGACUGGGAUAACUUCGGGAAACCGGAGCUAAUACCGGAUAAUAUAUUGAACCGCAUGGUUCAAUAGCGAAAGACGGUUUUGCUGUCACUUAUAGAUGGAUCCGCGCCGCAUUAGCUAGUUGGUAAGGUAACGGCUUACCAAGGCGACGAUGCGUAGCCGACCUGAGAGGGUGAUCGGCCACACUGGAACUGAGACACGGUCCAGACUCCUACGGGAGGCAGCAGUAGGGAAUCUUCCGCAAUGGGCGAAAGCCUGACGGAGCAACGCCGCGUGAGUGAUGAAGGUCUUCGGAUCGUAAAACUCUGUUAUUAGGGAAGAACAAAUGUGUAAGUAACUAUGCACGUCUUGAUGGUACCUAAUCAGAAAGCCACGGCUAACUACGUG
rnacentral:rRNA from 1 species